CUGCUGCCUUCCGUAGGAGUUUGGGCCGUGUCUCAGUCCCAAUGUGGCCGUCCACCCUCUCAGGCCGGCUACUGAUCGUCGCUUUGGUAGGCCGUUACCCUGCCAACUGGCUAAUCAGACGCGGGCCCAUCUUAUACCACCGGAGUUUUUCACCCUGGGCCAUGCGGCCCUGGGCGCUUAUGCGGUCUUAGCACCUAUUUCUAAGUGUUAUCCCCCUGUAUAAGGCAGGUUACCCACGCGUUACUCACCCGUCCGCCACUAAAGUAAAAUU
rnacentral:rRNA from 1 species